rnacentral:rRNA from 1 species
AUUGAACGCUGGCGGCAGGCCUAACACAUGCAAGUCGAGCGGAUGACGGGAGCUUGCUCCUUGAUUCAGCGGCGGACGGGUGAGUAAUGCCUAGGAAUCUGCCUGGUAGUGGGGGACGACGUUUCGAAAGGAACGCUAAUACCGCAUACGUCCUACGGGAGAAAGCAGGGGACCUUCGGGCCUUGCGCGAUCAGAUGAGCCUAGGUCGGAUUAGCUAGUUGGUGGGGUAAUGGCUCACCAAGGCGACGAUCCGUAACUGGCCUGAGAGGAUGAUCAGUCACACUGGAACUGAGACACGGUCCAGACUCCUACGGGAGGCAGCAGUGGGGAAUAUUGGACAAUGGGCGAAAGCCUGAUCCAGCCAUGCCGCGUGUGAAGAAGGUCUUCGGAUUGUAAAGCACUUUAAGUUGGGAGGAAGGGCAGUAAGCUAAUACCUUGCUGUUUUGACGUUACCGACAGAAUAAGCACCGGCUAACUCUGAGCCAGCAGCCGCGGUAA